rnacentral:ncRNA from 1 species
AUAAUAUUUGAUUCUAGUAUUAAAAUUAAUUUAUUCAUUAAAUUAUAUGGAAGUUUAUUAAUAAUUAUUAAUUCCAGUAAUAAAAAUUAAUUAUUUAAAUGAUUUUAAAAUUAGAUAUUGAAUUUAUAUUAGAUUAAAAUUGUGCCAGCAUUCGCGGUUAUACAAUUUUAAUAGAAUUAAUUUUAUAGGAUUUUAUUUUUUUUUUAUUAUUAGAAAUCUUAAGUUAAAUUAUUUAGGUGGAAUUUAUAUUAAUAUUAAAUUUCUAUUAAAAUUUAUAAGAAAUUAUGGUGUUUAAACUAGGAUUAGAUACCCUAUUAUACAUAACUUAAAUUUUUAUCCUGAAUAGUAUUAGUUAAGUUCUUUAAAGCUCAAAGAAUUUGGCGGUAAGACAUUCUUUUUAGAGGAACCUGUAAUUUAAUUGAUAAACCACGAUAGAUUCUACUUUCUUUAUAAUUUGUAUACCGCUAUAAUUGGGAAUGUUUCUUAAGAAUAUUUUCUUUUUCUUGUUAGAUUUAUAUUAGGUCAAGGUGCAGUUUUAAGAAAGUUUUUAUGGGUUACAUUAAUUUUAUAUAAAUAAGAUUAUUUUCAGAUUUGUUUAUUUGAAUAAGGAUUUAAUAGUAAAAUUAAUUUAUUUAUUAAUUUGAAUUAUGUUCUGUCUUAUGUACAUAUCGCCCGUCACUCCUAAUGUUAAUUAGGAUAAGUCGUAACAAAGUAACUCUACCGGAAGGUGGAGUUAGAAAGAC